UCUCUCCGUCUCUGUCUACUGAAAAUCCAAGGAGAAAAAUAAAACCCUAGACUUCAAUUUCAUGAUCCAAAUCAAGAGAAAUUGAACCAUAAAUUUUCGAUUUUGUUCUUUAACAUUGUGUUUUCAUUUGUUUUUAAUCAUAAUCAGUGUGUUAAAAGUCUUAGAUUUCAUGGAGAAAAUUGAAUUUCGACUUCAAUUAGAAUGUUGCAGUUUAGGGUUUCGAAAUUGGAUCAUCGAAGAAAACGUUUCUGAGUUGUUCUGAUAAUCUGGACAUUGGGAGAGUAGAGGAAUUUUGAUGCACUUGCUAAGCUUUUAGCUAGUAUCCAAAAGGCUUAUCACCAGGCUUCGGAAUAUGGAGACUUUCAUUUGGGUGAUCUUUAUUUAGUAAAAAUAAAUGAGGAGCAAGAGAAGCAAACUCCUGAUGGAAAUGAUCAUCUACGGGAGGUUUUUCAAAAUAUCCACCUUUAACUCGAGUUAGGUACUUCACUAUUGUGAUGAACUCUUAUCAAAGGCCACUUGUGUACUAGGAAUGGGAUAACAGAGUCGAUUGUGCUAAUGGAUGAAGAAGAGCUUAAGGAGUGGGUUGCGCAGGUCGAGCUUGGUCUUCUCUUUACUUUUGUUUCUAUGCCUGAGGGUGGGAACGAUCUCAUGCAAAUAUUUUUUAGGUUGUUUGGUACACACAGCUUGUGUAAUGAUGCUGGAUGAAGUUUCCUUUCCUGUUCUUUUGGUUGAUGAUUGAGAUUUCCCAUUUUGGAACGGAACUUGCAACUUGGAAUUGCAUUUACAGUUUAUAGUAUAACUUUUAUUCAUGUAAUGAGCUUUAUAUCAGUAUGUUUGGUCUUUAAAUUGAUAGACUUGGCAGACUCAGUACAGGUUGUUCUGAUGUAAUAAGACUCUUCAGAAAUGUGUAUUUGAGUCAAACAUGGAAUGAAUUGAAUUCAGACAUUGCUUCCUUUUUA